rnacentral:rRNA from 1 species
AUCUGUCUUAGUGGCGGACGGGUGAGUAACGCGUGGGCAACCUGCCCUGUACCGGGGGAUAACACUUAGAAAUAGGUGCUAAUACCGCAUAAUAGGGAAUACCGCAUGGUAAUCCUUUGAAAACUCCGGUGGUACAGGAUGGGCCCGCGUCUGAUUAGCCAGUUGGCGGGGUAACGGCCCACCAAAGCGACGAUCAGCAGCCGGCCUGAGAGGGUGACCGGCCACAUUGGGACUGAGACACGGCCCAAACUCCUACGGAAGGCAGCAG